AGGAGUGAACGCUAGCUACAGGCUUAACACAUGCAAGUCGAGGGGCAGCAUGAAGUUGCUUGCAAACUUGAUGGCGACCGGCGCACGGGUGAGUAACGCGUAUCCAACCUGGCCCGCAGUAGGGAACAGCCCGGCGAAAGUCGGAUUAAUGCCCUACGUCUUCCUUUGCAGGCAUCCAAUGAGGAAGAAAGAUUUAUCGCUGCGGGAUGGGGAUGCGUCUGAUUAGCUUGUCGGCGGGGUAACGGCCCACCGAGGCUACGAUCAGUAGGGGUUCUGAGAGGAAGGUCCCCCACACUGGUACUGAGACACGGACCAGACUCCUACGGGAGGCAGCAGUGAGGAAUAUUGGUCAAUGGGCGAGAGCCUGAACCAGCCAAGUAGCGUGCAGGAACCGACUGCCCUAUGGGUUGUAAACUGCUCUUAUGCGGGGAUAAACUUCAGCACGUGUGCUGUUUUGCAGGUACCGCAUGAAUAAGGACCGGCUAAUUCCGUGCCAGCCGCCGC
rnacentral:rRNA from 1 species